rnacentral:rRNA from 1 species
UGCAAGUCGAGCGGAAAGGCCCCUUCGGGGGUACUCGAGCGGCGAACGGGUGAGUAACACGUGAGCAACCUGCCCCUGACUCUGGGAUAAGCCUGGGAAACUGGGUCUAAUACCGGAUACGACCACUCACCGCAUGGUGUGGGGGUGGAAAGUUUUUCGGUUGGGGAUGGGCUCGCGGCCUAUCAGCUUGUUGGUGGGGUGAUGGCCUACCAAGGCGACGACGGGUAACCGGCCUGAGAGGGCGACCGGUCACACUGGGACUGAGACACGGCCCAGACUCCUACGGGAGGCAGCAGUGGGGAAUAUUGCGCAAUGGGCGGAAGCCUGACGCAGCGACGCCGCGUGGGGGAUGACGGCCUUCGGGUUGUAAACCUCUUUCAGCAGGGACGAAGCUAACGUGACGGUACCUGCAGAAGAAGCGCCGGCUAACUACGUGCCAGCAGCCGCGGUAAUACGUAGGGCGCAAGCGUUGUCCGGAAUUAUUGGGCGUAAAGAGCUCGUAGGCGGUUUGUUGCGUCCGUCGUGAAAGCCCACAGCUUAACUGUGGGUCUGCGGUGGAUACGGGCAGACUAGAGGCAGGUAGGGGAGAACGGAAUUCCCGGUGUAGCGGUGAAAUGCGCAGAUAUCGGGAGGAACACCGGUGGCGAAGGCGGUUCUCUGGGCCUGUACUGACGCUGAGGAGCGAAAGCGUGGGGAGCGAACAGGAUUAGAUACCCUGGUAGUCCACGCCGU